rnacentral:misc_RNA from 1 species
CGAACCCGUUGCAAUAAAGCCAUUCAAGCAGUUUUAUCCAGUGAUAGAGAAGUAGAAACAUAUGAAGCUUCAACAAGUAAAGGGCUACGAGGCCAAUUAACCAAGGUUGUUUUGGCCUAUAGUGGUGGCUUAGACACCUCAGUUAUUGUCCCAUGGUUAAGAGAAAAUUAUGGUUGUGAGGUUGUUUGCUUCACUGCUGAUGUUGGUCAGGGAUUAAAGGAAUUGGAAGGCUUGGAAGAAAAGGCCAGGGAAAGUGGGGCUUGUCAGCUGGUGGUGAAGGACUUGAAGGAAGAAUUUGUGAGAGAUUACAUUUUCCCUUGCUUGCGAGCUGGUGCAAUAUAUGAAAGGAAAUACUUGCUGGGGACCUCAAUGGCACGCCCUGUAAUUGCCAAGGCCAUGGUGGAUGUUGCCAAAGAAGUUGGAGCUGAUGCUGUUGCUCAUGGAUGCACAGGAAAAGGAAAUGAUCAGGUUCGCUUUGAACUCACGUUCUUUGCACUAAAUCCUGAACUAAAUGUUGUGGCUCCUUGGCGAGAAUGGGAUAUC